CCUCACGGGCGAUCUGGUUGAGCGCGUCGUCCUCCGCCGUCAGGCGCUCCCGGUUCGGCAGCCGCUUCCUGCCGGCGCCUUGCGUCCCCAUGGCGGGGGAACGGUUCCAACCACUUAAUACCAGGAAGAAAAGCUCCUGCAUUUGAUACCUCACAUUUCUGCAUAUGUGCUGAAGCCGUGCAUCGCUGCCCUGUCUCCUGCCUCGCUCACCGACCCGCCCAGGACAGUGGCAGACAGCAGAUAUAGUUCCUGGCCGGCCGAAAACAAGCCGUGCUGGUGCUAAGGGAUGCAGCCUCCAGCUGUGCUAAUCACCAGCAGGGCAGGAAGGCAGGUCAUUAUUGUUUCCUGAAGUGAAGAAGUGUGCCUAAACUCGGAAGUGAAAGAAGAUACCAGUAAGAAAACAUUGGAUGAAACGGAAACAAAACACUUCAGAUGUUACAGCGUAUUCGAGCUAAAGGUGCAUCUGAUUUUAAGUCAUAAUACAUUUUCCUAGCACCCCUAGCAUCCCUAUUUUUUCCAUGCACAGGGAAAAAAAUGACAUUUGGGAGCGAUCCAUGUGCUCAGCACACUUCCUUGCCCUCUGCCCCCAUGCACCCCGAGUCAUCAGCCAGCUCCUGCACCCCAAACCCCUCACCAAUUACCAUCCUCUGCAAUUUUCGUGUCGGCUUUUCCACAGCAUUAAUUAUUAUGGCACUGAAGCCCUUCUGAUCAUUCCCUGUAGAACUCUGAGGGAAUUAUUUCCCCUGUUCUCCGUCAGCAAAGAGCCAAAAUGGUCGGGCAAGAGCUGUCAAAUUCGCUAGUGUUUAAUUUUCUCAAUAACUGUAGAAACAAUUAAAAGAAGAUUUUCC